rnacentral:rRNA from 1 species
AGAUUGAACGCUGGCGGCAUGCCUUACACAUGCAAGUCGAACGGCAGCACGGGAGCAAUCCUGGUGGCGAGUGGCGAACGGGUGAGUAAUACAUCGGAACGUGCCCAGUAGUGGGGGAUAACCCGGCGAAAGCCGGACUAAUACCGCAUACGACCUACGGGUGAAAGCGGGGGAUCGCAAGACCUCGCGCUAUUGGAGCGGCCGAUGGCAGAUUAGCUUGUUGGUGGGGUAAAAGCCCACCAAGGCGACGAUCUGUAGCUGGUCUGAGAGGACGACCAGCCACACUGGGACUGAGACACGGCCCAGACUCCUACGGGAGGCAGCAGUGGGGAAUUUUGGACAAUGGGCGAAAGCCUGAUCCAGCAAUGCCGCGUGGGUGAAGAAGGUCUUCGGAUUGUAAACGCCCUUUCGGACGGGGACGAUGAUGACGGUACCCGUAGAAGACGCCCCGGCUACUUCGUGCCAGCAGCCGC